CUACGGGGCGCUGCAGUGAGGAAUAUUGCACAAUGGGGGGAACCCUGAUGCAGCAACGCCGCGUGGAGGAUGACGCAUUUCGGUGUGUAAACUCCUUUUAUAUGUCAAGAAAAUGACGGUAGCAUAUGAAUAAGCACCGGCUAACUCCGUGCCAGCAGCCGCGGUAAUACGGAGGGUGCAAGCGUUACUCGGAAUCACUGGGCGUAAAGGACGCGUAGGCGGGCUUGUAAGUCAGGUGUGAAAUCCUACAGCUUAACUGUAGAACUGCACUUGAAACUACGAGCCUAGAGUAUGGGAGGGGGAGAUGGAUUUAGUGGUGUAGGGGUAAAAUCCGUAGAUAUCACUAGGAAUACCUAAAGCGAAGGCGAUCUCCUGGAACAUAACUGACGCUAAGGCGUGAAAGCGUGGGGAGCAAACAGGAUUAGAUACCCCAGUAGUC
rnacentral:rRNA from 1 species